UUUGGACCUUCCUUUGGACUUCUUGGAGUCGAUGCUCUUGCCCUCUGCAAGAUUUUGGCAAAUAGACUGCAAUUUGGCGUCAACGGAGGCAUGAAGGGGCUUGUACUCCCCAAACUCGCCGCCGAUGUGGGAUCCGUUGUGGCGGAGGUGAGGGAAGUUCAGCCUAGCAAAGUCUCCACGCAGCUUAUACGCCGCCUUGUCGUAGGCCAACGCCGCCUCCUCCGCCGUGUCGAAGGUGCCAAGCCAAAGCCGGGUGCGGUUCUUUGGCAAACGGAUCUCAGCGACCCACUUCCCCCAGUGGCGCUGCCUCACUCCUCUGUAAAGCUUGGUGGGCUUAGGAGGAGAGCCCACUUGUUUCAUGGGAACAGGCUUUGGGCCCAA
rnacentral:lncRNA from 1 species